rnacentral:lncRNA from 1 species
AUGCCAAGCCAGAUCAAGGCAAUAGAGUUUACAGUGGCUAUUAUCUGCGUGAGGUAUAUUUAUGACUCCCCUCCCUGUUGCUCUGAUAUCUUCAAAUCUCACAAUAUUUGUAUAUUAAUUCCUGUAGGUAAGGAAAUUGCAAACAAGAAGCCCAGUGUUGGAGCCUCUUCAUGCAGCAUGGAGCACAGUUUGGAAGAAUCGAAGAUGAAUUUGAGCAAUAACCCUUCUGAUGUCUCCAGGGGGAGGAGAUGUGACGUCUUGAGGGAUGCCAGAAGACAAAGUGGCUCAGGAAGAUGGAAGGAAGCACUGGAUUGUACGGACACCUACGGAAUGGAGACGAGCCAGGCUGUGCAGGGACACCAGCCAGCUCCAGUGCUGCUGCCCAGACUGGAAAGACUCUCCCUCCUUCCAAGGUUUUCAGCAGUGCGCGGGUCGCUAUGGCAGGAGACAGAAAGGAUGCUUUACAUGUUCAGUCAACAAAUCAUUUUACCUUUGUGUUUCAGCUGUCUCUUCUGCUCCCUCCCUGAAACCCCACCACUGCCUCAAGCCAUGUCUGCAGGCGCUGUGCUAAUCAAUAUUACUUUGUGGAAAAAGUAA